UGCUAUUUGCUGACGAGUGGCGCCCUUAUGAGUAAUGCUUGGGAACUUGCCUUUGGGAGGGGGAUAACAGUUGGAAACGACUGCUAAUACCGCAUAACGUCUACGGACCAAAGAGGGCUUCGGCUCUUACCUGAAAAAAGGCCCAAGUGAAAUUAACUAGUUGGUGAGGUAAAGGGUCACCAAGGGGACCAACUCUAACUGGUCUGAAAGGAAGAACAACCACACUGGGACUGAAACACGGCCCAAACUCCUACCGGAGGCAGCAAUGGGGAAUAUUGGACAAUGGGGGAAACCCUGAUGCAGCCAUGCCGCGUGGGUGAAGAAAGGCUUCCGGUUGGAAAGCACUUUCAGUUGUGAAGAAAGGGUGGUAAUUAAUACCUGGCAACUGGGACGUUAACAACAGAAGAAGCACCGGCUAACUCCGUGCCAGCAGCCGCGGUAAUACGGAAGGUGCGAGCGUUAAUCCGAAUUACUGGGCGUAAAGCGGAAGCCGGCGGUUUGGUAAGCUAAAUGUGAAAACCCCGGGCUCAACCCGGGAUGGUCAUUUAAAACUGGCAGAAUAAAAUCUUGGAAAGGGGAAUGGAAUUCCAGGUGUAACGGUGAAAUGCCUAAAUAUCUGGAAGAACAUCAGUGGCGAAAGCGACUCCCUGGCCAAAGACUGACGCUCAUGUCCGAAAGUGUGGGUAGCGAACAAGAAUAGAUACCCUGGUAGUCCACACCGUAAACGCUGUCUACUAACUGUGUGUGAAUUUAAUUCGUGCGUAACGAA
rnacentral:rRNA from 1 species